UAGGGAAUCUUCCGCAAUGGGCGAAAGCCUGACGGAGCAACGCCGCGUGAGUGAUGAAGGUCUUCGGAUCGUAAAACUCUGUUAUUAGGGAAGAACAAAUGUGUAAGUAACUAUGCACGUAUUGACGGUACCUAAUCAGAAAGCCACGGCUAACUACGUGCCAGCAGCCGCGGUAAUACGUAGGUGGCAAGCGUUAUCCGGAAUUAUUGGGCGUAAAGCGCGCGUAGGCGGUUUUUUAAGUCUGAUGUGAAAGCCCACGGCUCAACCGUGGAGGGUCAUUGGAAACUGGAAAACUUGAGUGCAGAAGAGGAAAGUGGAAUUCCAUGUGUAGCGGUGAAAUGCGCAGAGAUAUGGAGGAACACCAGUGGCGAAGGCGACUUUCUGGUCUGUAACUGACGCUGAUGUGCGAAAGCGUGGGAAUCAAACAGG
rnacentral:rRNA from 1 species